rnacentral:piRNA from 1 species
UCCAAAUUCAGUUUGGGGCCUACCACCGU